rnacentral:rRNA from 1 species
AUUGAACGCUGGCGGAAUGCUUUACACAUGCAAGUCGAACGGCAGCACGGGGCAACCUGGUGGCGAGUGGCGAACGGGUGAGUAAUACAUCGGAACGUGCCCAAUCGUGGGGGAUAACGUAGCGAAAGUUACGCUAAUACCGCAUACGAUCUACGGAUGAAAGCGGGGGAUCGCAAGACCUCGCGCGAAUGGAGCGGCCGAUGUCAGAUUAGGUAGUUGGUGGGGUAAAGGCUCACCAAGCCAACGAUCUGUAGCUGGUCUGAGAGGACGACCAGCCACACUGGAACUGAGACACGGUCCAGACUCCUACGGGAGGCAGCAGUGGGGAAUUUUGGACAAUGGGCGCAAGCCUGAUCCAGCCAUUCCGCGUGCAGGAUGAAGGCCUCGGUUGUAACUGCUUUGUACGGUACGAACGGACGAGCUCUAAUACAGUUGCUAAUGACGGUACCGUAAGAAUAAGCACCGGCUAACUACGUGCCAGCAGCCGCGGUAAACG